rnacentral:rRNA from 1 species
AUGCGAAACCUUGACAAACUCAUUAAAGGAAAUCAUAUCCUUGGCGUUAACGAUGUCAUAUUUGACAAGGAUAGACAUUGUAGUGCUUGUCAAGCAUGGAAACAAGUUGGAGGAAGUCAUCGCGCUAAGAACAUCAUGACCACAAGAAGACCACUCGAGCUACUUCACAUGGAUCUCUUUGGUCGAAAUGCCUACAAGAGUCUCGGUGGUAACUUAUUUGGUCUGAUCAUAGUUGAUUAUUUUUCAAGAUUUACGUGGGUGUUCUUUCUUGAUGCCAAAUCGCAGGUCCAAAAGAUCUUCAAAAACUUUACUAGGAAGGCCCAAAAUCAAUUUGACGUGAAGAUCAAGAAGGUUCGAAGCGACAACGGAGCGGAGUUCAAGAACGCAAAUGUGGACACCUUUCUUGACGAAGAAGGGAUCGCACAUGAGUUCUCGGCUACGUACACACCUCAACAAAAUGGAGUUGUUGAGAGGAAGAACCGAACUCUUAUCGAGAUGGCAAGAACGAUUCUUGAUGAGUACAAGACGCCAAAACACUUUUGGGCGGAAGCGGUAGAGAUAGCUUGUCAUGCAACAAAUCGCUUGUAUCUUCACAAGCUAUUCGGCAAAACGGCAUACGGGCUCCUCACCGGUAACAAACCCCAAGUUGGAUACUUUCGAGUAUUCGGCUCAAAGUGCUACAUUCUUGAUAAGCAUCAUCGUUCUAAAUUUGCUCCUAAGUCUCAUGAAGGUUUCCUACUUGGUUAUGGCUUAAACUCUCAUACAUACCGUGUCUACAACAAUUUCACCCGAAAGGUUGAAGAAACGGUAGAUGUGAAGUUUGAUGAAUCUAACGGCUCGCAAGUAGAGCAAUUGCCAAUUGGUGUAGGAGACAAAGAUCCCUCGAAAGCAAUCUAA